GACGAACGCUGGCGGCGUGCCUAAUACAUGCAAGUAGAACGCUGAAGGAGGAGCUUGCUUCUCCGGAUGAGUUGCGAACGGGUGAGUAACGCGUAGGUAACCUGCCUGGUAGCGGGGGAUAACUAUUGGAAGCGAUAGCUAGUACCGCAUAAGAGUAGAUGUUGCAUGACAUUUGCUUAAAAGGUGCAAUUGCAUCACUACCAGAUGGACCUGCGUUGUAUUAGCUAGUUGGUGGGGUAACGGCUCACCAAGGCGACGAUACAUAGCCGACCUGAGAGGGUGAUCGGCCACACUGGGACUGAGACACGGCCCAGACUCCUACGGGAGGCAGCAGUAGGGAAUCUUCGGCAAUGGACGGAAGUCUGACCGAGCAACGCCGCGUGAGUGAAGAAGGUUUUCGGAUCGUAAAGCUCUGUUGUAAGAGAAGAACGAGUGUGAGAGUGGAAAGUUCACACUGUGACGGUAUCUUACCAGAAAGGGACGGCUAACUACGUGC
rnacentral:rRNA from 1 species